GAAUCAGAGAAGUGUUGCCCAAUAGUUUGCUGAAUCAAAUUAUCAGUGGCUGUAUCAACUGAGGCGGUAGCUUCAUCAAGGACCAAGACCUUACUCCUCUUUAGUAGAACACGUCCAAGACAGACCAGCUGCCUCUGACCCAUACUCCAGUUCUCCCCAUUCUCAGUAACUAUGGAAUCUAACUUUUUCUCCUUCUUCCUGACUUCAUGUCCAAGCUGACACUUAUCGAGAGCCUCCCAAAUUUGUUCAUCUGUGUACUCUUCAAGAGGGUCCAGGUUGCUCCGAACAGUCCCUUCAAACAUGGUUGGUUCCUGAGGAAUAAUGCUUAAUCUCGAGCGCAAAUCAUGCAGUCCAAUCGAUGAGAUAUUGAUGCCAUCAAUCACAAUCUGACCAGCUGCAGGUUCAACAAUGCGGAAGAGAGUUUGUAUUAGAGUCGAUUUACCACUGCCCGUUCUCCCAACGAUACCAGUUUUCUUCCCCCCUGGAAAAGCGCAUUUGAGACCUCGCAACACAAGUGGCAUAUGUGGGGCAUACCGGACCUGCAGAUUAUCAAUAUCAACUUCUCCAUGUGAUGGCCAAGAAUGGUCUGGCCGAUUUCCUUCUAUUACAAGAGGAGGCUCACUAGGAGUAGACAUGUACUGAAAUAUUCUUUCUACAGAUAUAAUCUUGUUCUCCAGAUUGCAAAUUUUCCAUAUUAACCAAGUUUGUAUGGUGUUGAGGUUGAGUCCAUAUGUCACAGCUAGGCCCGCAAUAGCUGGAUCAAUUCUGUCUUGAAAAGAGAUUAAUAAAACCAAUGAUGUCGCAAAUGUAAUAGAAGAAAACACAUCCAAACGGAAGCAAAGCCAUUCCAUUGCACCAGCAAUAUGAAAUUUAGGCCGACAAAAUGCGUCCAUAACUUUCAUAUUUGUUCUUUGGAAUCUUGAUUGCUGAUCAAAGCUCCUGAUCGUAGUUGAUCCUGAUAUUGUUUCAG
rnacentral:misc_RNA from 1 species